AUGAGUCUCACAAUCCAUCAGUGACACCAGCAGUAUGUAGUGGCAAUCCAGCAGAAUAAAAGAUGAACCUCUAGGUACAGUUAACACAUGAUACAGUCCCUCUAUCGUGAGUCCCGACCAGAUGACAGAUCAUGGAUAAAUCAUCAAAUCUUAACAUCAAUCAUAUAAUAGAUUCAAUCAGCUUAAGUCCAUAUGUAACUCUAUGAAAACUCUUUUUCAAUUAUCACAAUGCUAUGGCCAUAGACUUAAGAAUUCAGCCUCUUAAAUCUCAUAGGACUACUCCCUUCUGUUAGGAUCGAUAGAUCCCAUCUUGAUCACACCUCACUCCAACAGUGGACCAACUGUCGUCAACAUCCAUUACAAGGGCUCAUUGAGAUCCAUAUUGAUGUGCCAGUCAAACUUUAGCAGCCUCAUUACAAACAGUAGUGUAAUCUUAAAUCAAAGGACCAGUCAUAUAACUGCAGCAUCAAGAAAGAUACUAAUAAGUGAGCAGACAUCCAUGUGACUUCUCAUGUUGGUC
rnacentral:lncRNA from 1 species